UCCAGGUCCUGCGGCUUCUGGGAGUCAUGCACGCGGAUGCCAUCUCCCCACUCCCAGAAGAGCCGGCUGAAGUAGCAGACACUAGAGGAGAGGGACAAGAGCGGUCAGAGGGCCCGGCCUCACCUGGGGACUUGGGGUGCCGCGCCUGUGACUCCCAACAGCAGCUGCUGUGCUGAUCACACCCAUCUGGGUGGCAGGACCGCAACGGGUCUGCACUUCUCGUGACAGGCAACCUGGGACAAUUGUGACUCACAGCAUCGACCAGACACACCGACGCUCCCUCCUGAUGAGGUGCCAAGUCAGCUCCCAGCCACUCCCCACCCUGCUCCCCGACUCCUGAACGGCACUGGUGUUGCUCACCUGAGAAAAAUCUUCUCCACCUCCUCCAGCCUGUACACCUCCUUCACCCUACAGCGAUGAGGAGAGGACGUGACGUUUGGGAAGUAGCUGGCUGGCCGGCAGGAGCUCCCCAUGCCAAGCCCACCAUGGAGGAGGGACAGGGUGUAGCACCAAUGCUUCCAGCUGCGCCUCAGGACCCCCAGCCCCCCUCAAAGGGGAGAGGAAGGGGAAGGGUGAGGCAGAAGAAGCCUCUGCCUGACCCCCACUUCUGGGGCCAAUCCAGGUGGUACGUCAGAGGCCAGAGCUGUGUCCCCGGACGCCGCCCUGCCCUUCGCUGCCAUCUGCGCCCACAGAGACCCUGCCUGGACUCCGUCCUCCGCUCUCACAAGCUCAGCUGCUUUUCCUGAAAGGCAGCUUCAGCUAUGCUCGAUCACUUCCGCUCCAACAUCAGAGAGCAUCUCUGUCACACACGCCUCCCUCUUCCCACAGCGGCCUGCGAGCUGCCCGGCCCGCCCGCCCUGUCCCCAUCCCGGCCCCAGGCCCACCGCUGGUUAAAAUGUUGGUUCCGGACAUCGCUGCCAUUCAGCACGAGGACAUCAAGGAUGUGGAUGGCGCUGAUCUUCCGCUGGGCCUUCCCCUGCAAGGACAGGAACAUGUGGCAUGCAGCCUCCGUUCCUCCUGCGCGGGGAAGGGGUGCGCACACAGGCAGUUCUCAGCCCCAGCGUGAUCCUGAUGUUUGAGCAGGGAAGGACCCAGUCGCUCGACCUGAGCCCCAACAAACCUCAAGCCUCAACUCGCCCCGUGGCUGUUCAGAGUCACCUCUAUGGCCACAACACUCAAGCUCCAAGGAGGGGACAGCCUCUUCCUUCCCUGGGGUGCUGGUCACUCAAUGGGCCACUGAAACCCACCCGACAGGCUCACCACUCAGGGUCCUCUCUGACACACACAGGACCGCGCCCCUUCCUACCUGGAUCCCCAAGUCCAGUCACUGCCCGGCCCUGCCCAGCCCUCCAGCCAAGGCCCAGCACGCAGAGAGCCGCUCUGACCUCCCC